rnacentral:rRNA from 1 species
CAAUAGCGUAUAUUAACGUUGUUGCAGUUAAAAAGCUCGUAGUUGGAUUUCUGGAGGGAGCGUCAGCCCGUAUUUACGAGUGCGUGACGUCUCUGUCCAUCCUUGCGGGAAGGCACGGCAUUGAUUUGUUGUGUCGGAUCGCAUCAUUUACUGUGAAAAAAUUAGAGUGUUCAAAGCAGGCUUUCGCUUGAAUACAUUAGCAUGGAAUAAUAAGAUAGGACUUUGGUGCUAUUUUGUUGGUUGAGCCUAAAGUAAUGAUUAAUAGGGAUAGUUGGGGGCACCUGUAUUGCGUUGUCAGAGGUGAAAUUCUUGGAUUUACGCAAGACAAACAGCUGCGAAAGCGUCUGCCAAGGAUGUUUUCAUUAA